rnacentral:rRNA from 1 species
AUUCCAGCUCCAAUAGCGUAUAUUAAAGUUGUUGCAGUUAAAAAGCUCGUAGUUGGAUUUCAGAGUGAGCUCGUCCGGUCGGCCUAAAUGGUCUGAACUGGUUGACUCUCUCUUGCUUGUGGAUCCCGCCCGGAGUUAACUCUUCGGAUGUGGACUUCACAUCGUUUACCUUGAAAAAAUUAGAGUGUUCAAAGCAGGCGUAUGCUUGAAUAUAUUAGCAUGGAAUAAUGGAAUAGGACCCUGGUUCUAUUUUGUUGGUUUUGAGGACCAGAGUAAUGAUUAAUAGGGAUAGUUGGGGGCAUUCAUAUUUCAUUGUCAGAGGUGAAAUUCUUGGAUUUAUGAAAGAUGAACUUCUGCGAAAGCAUUUGCCAAGGAUGUUCUCAUUA